rnacentral:rRNA from 1 species
UACGUAGGUGGCAAGCGUUGUCCGGAUUUAUUGGGUUUAAAGGGUGCGUAGGCGGUUUGUCGCGUCUGGUGUGAAAAUCCAGGGCUUAACCCUGGACCUGCAUCGGGUACGGGCAGACUAGAGUGCGGUAGGGGAGAUCGGAAUUCCUGGUGUAGCGGUGAAAUGCGCAGAUAUCAGGAGGAACACCGGUGGCGAAGGCGGAUCUCUGGGCCGUAACUGACGCUGAGGAGCGAAAGCAUGGGGAGCGAACAGG